rnacentral:rRNA from 1 species
GACGAACGCUGGUGGCGUGCUUAACACAUGCAAGUCGAACGGAAAGGCCCCUUUGGGGGUACUCGAGUGGCGGACGGGUGCGUAACACGUGAGUAACCUGCCCUUGACUUCGGGAUAACUUCAGGAAACUGGGGCUAAUACCGGAUAGGAAUCCUUGCUGCAUGGUGGGGGUUGGAAAGCUUCGGCGGUUUUGGAUGGACUCGCGGCUUAUCAGCUUGUUGGUGGGGUAGUGGCUUACCAAGGCUUUGACGGGUAGCCGGCCUGAGAGGGCGACCGGCCACAUUGAGACUGAGAGGCGGCCCAGACUCCUACGGGAGGCAGCAGUGGGGAAGAUUGCACAAUGGGCGGAAGCCUGAUGCAGCAACGCCGCGUGCGGGAUGACGGCCUUCGGGUUGUAAACCGCUUUCAGCAGGGGCGAAGCUUGUGGUGACGGUACCUGCAGAAGAAGCACCGGCUAACUACGUG